rnacentral:rRNA from 1 species
AUGAACGCUGGCGGCGUGCCUAAUACAUGCAAGUCGAACGAACAGACGAGGAGCUUGCUCCUCUGACGUUAGCGGCGGACGGGUGAGUAACACGUGGAUAACCUACCUAUAAGACUGGGAUAACUUCGGGAAACCGGAGCUAAUACCGGAUAAUAUAUUGAACCGCAUGGUUCAAUAGUGAAAGACGGUUUUGCUGUCACUUAUAGAUGGAUCCGCGCCGCAUUAGCUAGUUGGUAAGGUAACGGCUUACCAAGGCAACGAUGCGUAGCCGACCUGAGAGGGUGAUCGGCCACACUGGAACUGAGACACGGUCCAGACUCCUACGGGAGGCAGCAGUAGGGAAUCUUCCGCAAUGGGCGAAAGCUUGACGGAGCAACGCCGCGUGAGUGAUGAAGGUCUUCGGAUCGUAAAACUCUGUUAUUAGGGAAGAACAAAUGUGUAAGUAACUAUGCACGUCUUGACGGUACCUAAUCAGAAAGCCACGGCUAACUACGUG